rnacentral:piRNA from 1 species
CNCUUUCUUAAAAAAUUACAAAGUGAGCCUA